GAGGGAGAGAGAGAGAGAGAGGGGGGGGUUGAGAGGGAGAGAGAGAGAGUUGAGAGACAGAGGGAGAGAGAGUGAGAUGGAGAGACAGACAGAGGGAGAGAGAGAGGGAGAUGGAGAGAAGGAGGUGGAUAGAGAGAGGUGAGAGACAGAGAGGGAAAGAGAGCCAAAGAGAGAGUUGUGAGGCAAGACUAGUUUAUUUAUAGAGAACAGUUCAUACACAUUGGUCAGAGAACAGAUCAGAGAAGACAGACAAAUAAGAGAUCAAAAGUAAUCGAAAACUAAAAGAUUAAAAAGGAAGCUAAAAGAGCAUAGAUAAUUAUGAAUACAAAAGUAAAUGAAUAUGAAGGAGAGUGCUUUUGAUCAGCUAACAGAAAGCGUCUGAGAACAGUUGGGUCUUAAGUCUGGAUUUGAAACCGGCUACAGUUGGAGCACAUUUGAUGUCAUCAGGAAGUUGGUUCUGGAGCUGAGUAGCAUUAUAGCAGCUAAAGGCUGCUUCACAAUGUUUAGUUCUGACCGCAGGUAUU
ensembl:lncRNA